AAAAAAUUUCGGUUGNGAAGGNNCCGGGCCUUUCAAUUUNNNNGGGAAGUAAUGUUCCCCCAAGGGUGGNNCGGUAGACGCCCNGAANGGUGACCGGCCCCCNUGGGACNANAACCCGCCCCNACNCCUACGGGAGGCAGCAGUGGGGAAUAUUGCCCAAUNGGGCCAAGCCUGAUGCAGCAACGCCGGGUGANGGAUGACGGCUUUCGGGUUUUAACCUCUUUUAGCAGGGAAGAAGCGAAAGUGACGGUACCUGCAGAAAAAGCGCCGGCUAACUACGUGCCAGCAGCCGCGGUAAUACGUAGGGCGCAAGCGUUAUCCGGAAUUAUUGGGCGUAAAGAGCUCGUAGGCGGUUUGUCGCGUCUGCUGUGAAAUCCGGAGGCUCAACCUCCGGCCUGCAGUGGGUACGGGCAGACUAGAGUGCGGUAGGGGAGAUUGGAAUUCCUGGUGUAGCGGUGGAAUGCGCAGAUAUCAGGAGGAACACCGAUGGCGAAGGCAGAUCUCUGGGCCGUAACUGACGCUGAGGAGCGAAAGGGUGGGGAGCAAACAGGCUUAGAUACCCUGGUAGUCCACCCCGUAAACGUUGGGAACUAGUUGUGGGGUCCAUUCCACGGAUUCCGUGACGCAGCUAACGCAUUAAGUUCCCCGCCUGGGGAGUACGGCCGCAAGGCUAAAACUCAAAGGAAUUGACGGGGACCCGCACAAGCGGCGGAGCAUGCGGAUUAAUUCGAUGCAACGCGAAGAACCUUACCAAGGCUUGACAUAUACGAGAACGGGCCAGAAAUGGUCAACUCUUUGGACACUCGUAAACAGGUGGUGCAUGGUUGUCGUCAGCUCGUGUCGUGAGAUGUUGGGUUAAGUCCCGCAACGAGCGCAACCCUCGUUCUAUGUUGCCAGCACGUAAUGGUGGGAACUCAUGGGAUACUGCCGGGGUCAACUCGGAGGAAGGUGGGGAUGACGUCAAAUCAUCAUGCCCCUUAUGUCUUGGGCUUCACGCAUGCUACAAUGGCCGGUACAAAGGGCUGCAAUACCGCGAGGUGGAGCGAAUCCCAAAAAGCCGGUCCCAGUUCGGAUUGAGGUCUGCAACUCGACCUCAUGAAGUCGGAGUCGCUAGUAAUCGCAGAUCAGCAACGCUGCGGUGAAUACGUUCCCGGGUCUUGUACACACCGCCCGUCAAGUCAUGAAAGUCGGUAACACCUGAAGCCGGUGGCCUAACCCUUGUGGAGGGAGCCGUCGAA
rnacentral:rRNA from 1 species